AUCGAGCUCGGGCCGCUGCCGCCAGCGUGCGACCCAAGUCAAGAGCUGGUGCAUCGAGGGGCUCCGUCAGCGUGCGACCCAAGUCGAGAGCUGGUGCAUCGAGAGGCUCCGUCAGCGUGCUUCGUGGUGAGUAACCUCAAGAGCGUGCGCGUCGGUUGUUCACCGAAGACGACAACAAUGAUGAGGACAUCGCGAGGGGCGUUCUCAUGUGGUGGAUCUGAAACCGCAGAUCGAAGUGGUCCCAGCUAGAGCAACAUGUUUGAUGGAAUACAUCGAGUGUCAUCAUCAAGUACUCCAGUGAAGAAGCAACCAACAGUGCAGUUUCAUGUUCAGAAUUGUGUUUCACAUAGAUGUUAUCUAAAACAUAUGAUGGUGUUAUUACUUAUUUCUAGACAUGUAAUUUUUACGUUGUUUGUGUUAAAUAAUAUAUUAUCAUUAAAUGUAUCGGUGCCAUUUGUUGAAA